AUUGAACGCUGGCGGCAGGCCUAACACAUGCAAGUCGAACGGUAGCACAGAGAGCUUGCUCUCGGGUGACGAGUGGCGGACGGGUGAGUAAUGUCUGGGAAACUGCCCGAUGGAGGGGGAUAACUACUGGAAACGGUAGCUAAUACCGCAUAACGUCGCAAGACCAAAGUGGGGGACCUUCGGGCCUCACACCAUCGGAUGUGCCCAGAUGGGAUUAGCUAGUAGGUGGGGUAAUGGCUCACCUAGGCGACGAUCCCUAGCUGGUCUGAGAGGAUAACCAGCCACACUGGAACUGAGACACGGUCCAGACUCCUACGGGAGGCAGCAGUGGGGAAUGUUGCACAAUGGGCGCAAGCCUGAUGCAGCCAUGCCGCGUGUAUGAAGAAGGCCUUCGGGUUGUAAAGUACUUUCAGCGGGGAGGAAGGCGGUGAAGUUAAUAACUUCACCGAUUGACGUUACCCGCAGAAGAAGCACCGGCUAACUCCGUGCCAGCAGCCGCGGUAA
rnacentral:rRNA from 1 species